rnacentral:lncRNA from 13 species
GAAGCUAAUUGUUACGUAACCAUGGUGAUCAGGAGCACAUUUCAUUGGUUAAAAUGGAGGGAAACUAACCAAUCAUCAUGAUCUUCAUGUUUGCACAGCCACCCCGCCCUCCGCCUUUUUUUUUUUCAGUGACUAGAAGAGGAAGGCCAGAGAUGAAAUGUUUCUAAUGUGUUUUAAAAUUUAAUGUGGCCUAAAGAAAGAGCGGUGUUACUGCAACACAACAGGAAAUAGCUGAGGGAGCCUGUUAGCAGAUUUUGAGCACUGGACGUUGCUGCCAAGGCUAAGAGGUGAAAAAUGUGCCUUCUAUGAGUCACUGACUCCACACAGCAUGAAGCUAAAAACAACCACUGUGGCAAAUGGGGAGUCUACAUUCAGGGAAAAUUUGUAUAGGGUUUUUUUGCACAUUGGAUGGUCAGCAGACCCCGGGGAAAGGACUUUAAGAAGCUGCUGAAGAACAAAAAUGAAGGUGGGAGCUGUUGGUGUCGAGUGACUCAUAGCACCAUCCUUCAGGGACGGUGUGGUUGGCCAGAGUAUGGUCAGGGAGAGCCAAGAGAAGAAGUGCUUCUGAGUAUGACCCAGCAGGGUGGAAAGAAGGAGUCGUCUCCCAAGUGCACAUUUGUUGGAGGAAGCUUUUGUGGGCUCCUGACAUUCCAUUAUUCUAGAACUACAAGGAGACACCCUCCAGAGAAAGCAGCAACAAGGCACCAUCUUGGAAGCUGA